rnacentral:rRNA from 1 species
GGUUAAAAAGCUCGUAGUUGGAUCUCGGCAAGUAGAGGGCGGUAUGCUUCGUAGCAUUACUGCCCUAUUACUUGUAGUUUUGCCAGAGGUUCCUGGGUGCUCUUAAUCGAGUGUCUAGGGAUGCUGGCAGGUUUACUUUGAAAAAAUUAGAGUGCUCAAAGCAGGCUAUUACGCUUGAAUAUUCGUGCAUGGAAUAAUAGAAUAGGAAGUUGUUUCUAUUUUGUUGGUUUUCGGAAAUCGACUUAAUGAUUAAUAGGGACAGUCGGGGGCAUUUGUAUUCAAACGACAGAGGUGAAAUUCUUGGACCGUUUGAAGACAAACUACUGCGAAAGCAUUUGCCAAGAAUGUUUUCAUUAAUCAAGAACGAAAGUUAGAGGUUCGAAGGCGAUUAGAUACCGCCCUAGUUCUAACCAUAAACGAUGCCAGCUAGCGAUCUGAGGACGUUUUUCUUGUAGACUCCUCAGGAAGCUUCCGGGAAACCAAAGCGUGUGGGUUCCGGGGGAAGUAUGGUUGCAAAGCUGAAACUUAAAGGAAUUGACGGAAGGGCACCACCAGGAGUGGAGCCUGCGGCUUAAUUUGACUCAACACGGGAAAUCUCACCAGGCCCGGACACUGGAAGGAUUGACAGAUUGAGAGCUCUUUCUCGAU